GACGAACGCUGGCGGUGUGCUUAACACAUGCAAGUCGAACGGUAAGGCCCUUUCGGGGGUACACGAGUGGCGAACGGGUGAGUAACACGUGAGUAACCUGCCCUCAUCUCUGGGAUAACAGUCGGAAACGGUUGCUAAUACUGGAAAUGAGCUUGCAAGGCAUCUUGUGGGUUGGAAAGAUUUUUUUGGUUGGGGUUUGACUCGCGGCCUAUCAGCUUGUUGGUGAGGUAGUGGCUCACCAAGGCUUCGACGGGUAGCCGGCCUGAGAGGGCGACCGGCCGCAUUGAGACUGAGAUACGGCCCAAACACCUACGGGAGGCAGCAGGGGGGAAUAUUGCACGAUGGACGGAAGUCUGGUGCAGAAGCGCCGCGGGCGGGAUGACGGCCUUCGGGUUGUAAACCGCUUUCAAAUGUGACGAUGCUUUUUGUGACGGUAGCAGUAGAAGAAGCACCGGCUAACUACGUG
rnacentral:rRNA from 1 species